CAGUCGCCACGGUAAUACAGAGGGUGCAAGCGUUAAUCGGAUUUACUGGGCGUAAAGGGCGCGUAGGUGGUUAUUUAAGUGAGAUGUGAAAUCCCCGGGCUUAACCUGGGAACUGCAUUUGUGACUGGCGAGCUAGAGUAUGGCAGAGGGGGGUAGAAUUCCACGUGUAGCAGUGAAAUGCGUAGAGAUGUGGAGGAAUACCGAUGGCGAAGGCAGCCCCCUGGGCCAAUACUGACGCUCAUGCACGAAAGCGUGGGGAGCAAACAGGAUUAGAUACCCCAGUAGUCCCUGUCUCUUAUAC
rnacentral:rRNA from 1 species